GGGAAUGUAGCUUAGUGGUAGAGUACUUGCCUAGCAUGCAUGAAGCCCUGGGUUUGAUUCCUCAGUACCA
rfam:Dipodomys ordii contig_32595, whole genome shotgun sequence.